UACGAAGGGGGCUAGCGUUGCUCGGAAUGACUGGGCGUAAAGGGCGCGUAGGCGGAUGGCACAGUCAGAUGUGAAAUUCCCGGGCUUAACCUGGGGGCUGCAUUUGAUACGUGUGAUCUAGAGUGAGGAAGAGGGUCGUGGAAUUCCCAGUGUAGAGGUGAAAUUCGUAGAUAUUGGGAAGAACACCGGUGGCGAAGGCGGCGACCUGGUCCUUGACUGACGCUGAGGCGCGAAAACGUGGGGAGCAAACAGG
rnacentral:rRNA from 1 species